rnacentral:lncRNA from 1 species
UAAAGAUGAAAAUAUUCUUAAACAUGAAACCGUUUUGAUCAAGAUUCAAAAAAAACUUCAUUAAAAGAUAGGGACAUCUUCUGAAACAUAUCCAAAAAGCUCUAAUGAAAAACAGCAAGAUAAGGUCUUUGAGAUGUAAUGCAAACUCAAGGCCUAGGAAGAUCCUCCUUAACGGUUGGCCUUCGCAACUCUCUCAAUCUCAUCCUUCUUCUUGAUGGCAUAGCUGCAAAAAAACAAGACAAGAUGCUAUUAGUAUUUAGCAACAAACAAACACAAUUUGUGAACCCGCUUUAAGAGACAAGACAAUGUAAAGAUGUUUACCUGUUGGAAGAUCCCUUGGCAGCAUUGAUGAGCUCAUCAGCAAGGCACUCAGCGAUUGUCUUGAUGUUUCUAAACGCAGCUUCACGUGCACCAGUGGUGAGCAAGAAGAUGGCUUGGUUCACACGUCUUAGAGGAGAGAUAUCAACAGCCUGCCUCCUAACCACACCAGCAGAUCCAAUCCUCGUCGCAUCCUCACGUGGACCACUAGCUCACCAAUAAAACACACACAACAUUAGAAAAAAAGGUUUCUAGUAACACGCAAUAAAGAAUGCAACAUUGUUGUCUUACCUGUUGACAAUGGCAUCAAUGAUAACCUGAAUAGGGUUCAAGUCAGUCAAGAGAUGGAUGAUCUCCAUGGCGUGCUUGAUGAUCCUCACAGCCAUCAGCUUCUUUCCGUUGUUCCUUCCGUGCAUCAUGAGAGAGUUCGUGAGCCUCUCAACAAUGGGACACUGAGCCUUCCUGAACCUCUUGACAGAGUAUCUUCCAGCAGUGUGGGGGACAAAGGUCGCGUGCUUAGGAGGCUGAACCCCAAUGUAGUCAACAAGACUAAUGUCUGUGCCCUACCCAUUCACAAAAAAAAAAAACACAAGAUCAACAAAACAAAUACUAAGAACAUAGCCAUUGUUGCCAAUUUAAAUUUUAGAGAUCUAAUAUUCAAAAACAAACCAAACAACACAGAAAGUGUUGGACUUUAAGACAAAGAAACAUCAGGAUCAACCAAGUGUACUGAGACAAUAAAACAUGAAUUGAAAAUUAACAAAAAUAAAAACAAAAAGAGGACAUUUUUUCCGACAUAACUCCAUGAGUUAUAUCUAAUUCAGACAAUGUAACUAUUUUUUUGUAAUAGACCAAUCAUUUCAUUGUAGAAUUAGAUCCUAUAAAGAUUGCAAAUGAGCUAUCGUAAACUUACCGAAACGUCAUCAAAGCUCCAGCGAUUGAAGAGCUUGACCUCGUUGGUAAGCUGCUGCUGAAUCUCAGCGUCAAUCUCAACGGCGGCGGCCAUGGCUGGAAACACCAAACAUACUUACACUGCUUGUUACACAUCAGGUUUGAUGUUUGGGCUCUUGUGAUUAGUUUGUUUAUUGUUGAAUGUGUGUGAUAAUAUUGCGGCUGGCCGAGCUGGCUGGUUAAAGAACACAACCAGACAGUAAAGUAAAACAGUCGCAUACAUUAAAGAUUUUGUGGAACGUAUAACCAGCUCCUGUCUGUCCUAGAAUUGGCGGUUCAGGAUAGAACUGUUCCUUACAUACUGGAACUUCCAGUAGAAUUUGAUGCUAAUUGUUGGUCCUAAACUAGUGUGUAUCAGUUGCUAUGUGAUCUCAUAACUGGACCUUAUCUUAUGGUUUGUGCUUGAGGUUUCUGAGAAAUCGCUGGGUUCAUUUGAUUCUUCUGGUUUGACAAUUAGUUUCUUGUUAUGGACACGGUGAAAUCAGACUCAAAUCGGUGGAAUAAGACAGCCUCAAAGAAGGCAGACAUAAUCAUGUUUGCUCUUGAUUCAUCUUCAAUCUCAACAGGACAUUAAAAUCAAUUUGUAGCUUUAUUUUGUUAGUAUAUAGAUUUGAUGAAAUAAACAACCUUUAAAUUAUAAAUAUAAAGAUGAAAAUAUUCUUAAACAUGAAACCGUUUUGAUCAAGAUUCAAAAAAAACUUCAUUAAAAGAUAGGGACAUCUUCUGAAACAUAUCCAAAAAGCUCUAAUGAAAAACAGCAAGAUAAGGUCUUUGAGAUGUAAUGCAAACUCCUUACAUAGCCAUUGAACUGCUGUUCAGCUGUCUGAACCUCAGAGGCUGAAGACAUAGUCACAAACCCAAAACCUCUGCUUCUCCCUGUCACCUUGUCAUAGAUAACCUAAACAAAGACAACAAAACGAACAAUCACUAAAACCAAUCUCAAACAACAACAACAACAACAACAAAAAAGAUUCAAUCUUUAUCUCAUUUCUCGAAAACCCAUAACUCAAUUUUGAGUUUUUGACUCGUUACCUCAACCAUCUCGACGUUUCCGGCGCUCUCGAAGAGCUGAGCGAGCUGAGCGCUGUCGACGUUAAAGGGGAGGUUACCGACGAAGAGCUUGAGGUCAGAAGAGAAGGAUUGCUCCCGCCGCGGGGGAGGAGGAGCGUCGUCGUCAGCGAAGAUGCCGUCUUCUUCGACUGAGAAGUCGUCAGUAACCGCGACGUUACGGACGAAGCGAGAGGAAGCGGCGGAGAUGGAGAGGGAGAGGGAGGCGGAGAGGGAGUGGAGAUUGAAGGAGAGGGAAGGAGGUAGGAGGGAAACGGAGGCGGGUCUGGAGAUGGAGAAAGGAAGGGACUUGGGGGUGAAAGUGGAGAGAGCGAGAGAGGAAGCUGAAGCAGCCAUGGUGAAGAGAUGAGAAGAGAUAAGGUUUGUUUUUAGCUUUAGGGGUUUUUGAGAGUGGAGAUAAGAUGGUGUGUUUCUGAUAUUUAUGGGCCAAAUGGGAAUAAAUAUCUUUGCACAAAAUAUCUCAUUCUGAUUUUUAUUUACAAAUUUUGCCUCAAAACUUUAUUUGAUUGCUAAAUAUUCUGCUGCUAAUAAAAUUUGUCAAAUUUCAAUGAAUUUAUCUUAACGUCAUCUCUGAAAAAAAGUAUGUAUUUAAAAAAAAUAUAGGUUUUCAUAAAUUUGUAGACAAUUUCUUUAGAAAAUCUUAAUUUUCAAAAUAUUUUGUAUUUUUCUCACUUUAGUGGUGUUAGUUAUCUUUUUAUUGGAAGUCUCUACUUACUACUUGUCAUACGCUGAAGUGAGAUGACAGAUGAGAUGAGAUCUAAGCCGUAGAGUUUUGGAUGGACAGUGGAGAUGGCACGUCUCAUGCCAAAACCAAAAGAAAAAAUCUAUAAGAUAGGAUUUUUUAACUAAAAGCCAAUGGAAGUAGCAACUCUCGUUCCAGCACAGAUCUUUAACUCCAAUAAAUUCAGAAAACAAUACAGUUCCUCUAAAGAAAACCAUUGAAUCAUACAAAGGUUGCUCCCUUCAAAACAAGUUAAUAAGAAAUGAUGUAUUUGGAUAACAACAGAAGACUGAAGUUCUUGAACUGCAACACGCUUUUAGGAUCUCUUCAAUUGGAGGGUCAUCUCGAGCUUCUUUGUCCUGAAAUGUUCCAACAAACAAGUUGUUGAGUACGAGAUUGUGAUUAAUUUAUCUCUUUGAUUACAUUGACAUGGUGUAAACACAAGUAUUUGAUCAAAACGUGUUACCUGGUCCAUACUCCCCGGUCCGAUCAAAACAAGAGAAACACCAGAUGCAUCCAUCACAUGCUAAGAAAACCUCAAAUGUAUCACUUAAUGAAAUGACCAAACCAUCAUCAAGAUUUUGACAGUGGGGUGAAUCAUUUUACCUUCUUUUACGACAAGCAAGCUUUAAUACCCAACAUAGUAGUAGUAACCAAACACAUUCACCAAAUCUAAUAAGAAACUUCUCCAAAAAGAUUUAACCACCCAAAAUGACGAGCAAAUGCAACAACAGCCUUCCUAUCCUUCCACAAAAUCAGAAAUCAACAGUCUCUCUCCCUGUUCCAGUUCCUGUGAAGAAGAACCGAUUCAAUCUAGUUUAUAAUCUUUUCAGCUUCUCCAAAACAGAACAGAUUCUAAAACUUACCUGAAGCGCCGGUAAUGGCCGACACUGCCACCACGUUACGCCGGAGAGAAAAAUCUACUGGAGAUGAGAACUGGCCAAAGAACCAAACUUUACUGUCCCGUAAACCCAUGAAUCGUUUUUCAUCUUCUGAUUCAGCGUAACGGGAGUGAUCGUCGACGAAGACGGCGAUGAGAGAGAAACCGCCAUUGUUGUUUUUACUCCGGGAAAGCCGAAAGAAAUAAGAAAAAUCCUAACUUUAACGUUUUAGUUAGAAAAAAAAAAUCAAAUUAAAAAAAAUCAAACUUUAAGUUAUUACACGUUGUAUAGAUGACGUAAGCAUUGUCCGAAACAGAAAAAAGUCAAACGCCACGUAAGCUCAGUAAGAGUAAAAUUUUUUGGAAAAGGUAGAUCUUUUUUAAAAGCGAACUAGAUUUUGAUCCGCACAUCCGUGCGGGUAUUCGUUUAAACUUUUAAAAACAUACAAUAGAUAUUUACAUAAAAUUGUUAUAUUAGCGUUUUAUACCAGCUCAAAUAAGAUAAGCUUUUAGCACAUAUAUAAUUAUUAGUAAUACUAUAAGUAAGUAAUUAUUUGAGGUUUAUUUAUUUUAUGUUAUUCAUGUACAUUAAUAUUUAAAAUUUUAAAAAUAGUUAUUAUAUAUAAUAUAAAUGGACUACUUAGUUUUGGAAAGGAAAAAAAUUGAUAUUUUUUAAUAUUUAUGGAAUGGUAAAAACUAUUUUAUAUUGAUUUUAUAUCAUAUCAUUCGUAUUAAUAUAUAUAUGUACAGUUCACAACAGGUAAAAUUAAUUAAUUUUUAACUUUAAGAAAGAUUUUGUUAAGAUAUAUUAUCAUUUGAAACAAUAAUUAAUAUUUCCAUAUAUAAAAGUAAUUGAUGGUAUAUUUUUAAGGAAGAUUUUGUUAAGUUUAACUAAUAUAGUGCUCUUUUGCGAAAUAGACACUUUUUAUUAAUAAUAUUUUAUACGUACAAUCAUAUAAAUAAUCACAUAUAUUAUAUUUUAAAAUUUAAUGUGAAAUAUAAAAGCUAUAAUUUAAGUUGGUGUUUGAAAUUGGGCUUUGUAUUGCAUUUUUUUUUAUAUAUUGAAAAUAUUUUUAUAAUAGUUAUUGGAAAAUAUGUUAGUAAAAAUUAAAUUUUGAAUAUAUGUAUACUUUUAAAUGAAUUUUUGAUAUAAAUCAAUUUUAAAUUAUUAUUUUGAUUUGAAUAUAUAUAUCAAGUAACAUAGACCCAUUAUUUUUUAAUAUAAUAUAAUAGACUUCCAAUUUUUUAGUAGCAUAAGCCUAAUAUGUUUUUUCCUAACUUACUACUAUCUAUGUUUCCAAACAAUACUAUUUUUUUUAACUACUAUCCAUAUUGCCAAACAAUCUCAGUGUGUACUUCAACUUUAAUAAUAUAUAUAUAUAUAGAUGUUCCUUCUUUGCACGUUUAAGGGAUCUCAAGCCGCUUCUCUCUCUCACACAUCUCUGAAAUGGCGAGAGUAUUGCGUGUGGCGAGAUCCUCCUCCUCCCUCUUCAGCUUCGGAAGCAGAUCUUAUUCAGCCGAAGCUAGCCACGUGUCCUCUCCCCCUCCUCCGUUUCUUGGAGCUCGCAGGGGCUUUACCAAGGAGAGAAACGUGCAGUGGGUGUUCCUCGGUUGUCCCGGUGUCGGAAAGGGGACUUACGCUAGCAGACUCUCGAGUCUCCUCGGUGUUCCUCACAUCGCCACCGGAGAUCUCGUCCGUGAUGCGCUAGCUUCUUCCGGACCUCUCUCCCAACAGGUUCUUGUUUCACUUUUAUGUCCAAAUGAAUCCCAAAACGACGUCGUUUUCCGUUAGAUCUGUUAAAAGUUCAUGUGUCUACCAACAGAUCUAAUGAACUAGUGUUUGUGUCCUAACGGAUCUGAUCCUUUUUUUAAUAAUAGUCAACGGCUCUCUCUCUCUCCUCUUGCUUGUAUUGAGAUUCUUAUUACUUGAUUGCAGCUAUCAGAGAUUGUAAACCAGGGGAAGCUUGUUUCAGAUGAGAUCAUAGUGAACCUAUUAUCAAAGAGACUUGAAGCUGGUGAAGCCAAAGGUGAAUCAGGUUUCAUUCUUGACGGCUUUCCUCGCACCAUGAGACAAGCUGUAAGUUAGUAAACUUAUUAUUAUAUUUAACCCAUUUUUUAGAAAGUUUUAAUCUUUUUAUAUUUCAGGAAAUACUAGGAGAUGUCACUGACAUCGAUCUAGUGGUGAACUUAAAGCUACCUGAGGAGGUUUUGGUUGACAAAUGCCUUGGCAGGAGGACGUGUAAUCAGUGCGGUAAAGGUUUCAAUAUAGCUCACAUCAACUUAAAGGGUGAGAACGGGAAACCAGGAAUCAGCAUGGAUCCGCUUCUCCCUCCACCUCAGUGUAUGUCAAAGCUCAUCACUCGUGCUGAUGAUACUGAGGAGGUUGUGAAAGCUAGGCUUCGUAUUUACAAUGAAACCGUAGGUCCUCUUUCUCUAUUGUCCUUACCUUUUAGCUGUGAAGCGAUGCUUGAUGCUUUGAAUGAUUGUGUGCAGAGCCAGCCUCUUGAAGAGUACUACCGUAGCAAGGGAAAGCUUAUGGAGUUUGACUUACCUGGAGGCAUCCCUGAGUCUUGGCCAAGGCUGUUAGAAGCUUUAAGGCUUGAUGAUUACGAGGAGAAGCAAUCUGCCGCGGCGUAGUUCAACUACAACUCCGGUAUUUAUAAUUCUUUGCAUGUGGAAGACAUGUGCCUAUAUCAGUUUUGUGUUGGAAAAUAAAGAAAACCUUAGGUUGUUUUUUUUAUUGCCUCAGAUCAGAAUAAUCAUUCAUCAUAUACACUUUGCAAACUAUAUGAUGUAUCAUGAUUGUUUAUGAGUUUGCUAGUUACAGGAAUGUAUAAACACUUUGGUACACUUUUGAUUAUUUAUUGUUGAAUGUGAUCAAUGAUUGUUUAUGAGUUUGCUAGUUACAUUACAUGAAUGUAUCAAUACUUACACUGCUUGUUACACAUCAGGUUUGAUGUUUGGGCUCUUGUGAUUAGUUUGUUUAUUGUUGAAUGUGUGUGAUAAUAUUGCGGCUGGCCGAGCUGGCUGGUUAAAGAACACAACCAGACAGUAAAGUAAAACAGUCGCAUACAUUAAAGAUUUUGUGGAACGUAUAACCAGCUCCUGUCUGUCCUAGAAUUGGCGGUUCAGGAUAGAACUGUUCCUUACAUACUGGAACUUCCAGUAGAAUUUGAUGCUAAUUGUUGGUCCUAAACUCCCUAGUGUGUAUCAGUUGCUAUGUGAUCUCAUAACAGGACCUUAGCUUAUGGUUUGUGCUUGAGGUUUCUGAGAAAUCGCUGGGUUACUUCAUUUGAUUCUUCUGGUUUGACAAUUAGUUUCUUGUUAUGGACACGGUGAAAUCAGACUCAAGUGAAAGGCUAAACCACAUCGUAUAGCUAUUUAAAUCACAAUAGUGAACAUGUACUUUAGAGAUGUCUCACUUACUGUACCUCAGUCACUAGUAUCUCUUGGUAGUGACUUAUAGUGUUGUCUUGGCACGUGUGAAUCAUUUCAAAAGGAGUAAAAUGUUUUCUUCUUCUAUAUGUACAUUCGGAGUUAAGAAAAUGUGUAUAAGACCCUAACAAUGUAUAUAUUACCAUCCUCUUUGGAGCAGUCAAAGCAAUGCAUCUAAAAACAAAACAUAUAGGAUGAAUGAGGGUUAACAACUGUUCCAUGGUCGACAAACUAAACUGGUGGAGCUUUGGAUUCUGGUUGCAGAAGCAGUCAGUGUGAUGAAGAAGAGCUUGAUGGUCCAACCAGAUGCAAAAGAAGGUGAGACCAGUAGGCUUUAGCUUGUUUUAAACACUUUCUGCAAUCUACAGUUACAAGUAAGUUUGCUGAUAAUAGGCUAUCGGUGGAAUAAGACAUUUGAUGAUUCAUCUUCAAUCUCAACAGGACAUUAAAAUCAAUUUGUAGUUUUAUUUUGUUAGUAUAUAGAUUUGUUGCAAUAAACAACCUUUAAAUUAUAAAUAUAAAGAUGAAAAUAUUCUUAAACAUGAAACCGUUUUGAUCAAGAUUCAAAAAAACUUCAUUAAAAGAUAGGGACAUCUUCUGAAACAUAUCCAAAAAGCUCUAAUGAAAAACAGCAAGAUAAGGUCUUUGAGAUGUAAUGCAAACUCAAGGCCUAGGAAGAUCCUCCUUAACGGUUGGCCUUCGCAACUCUCUCAAUCUCAUCCUUCUUCUUGAUGGCAUAG